rnacentral:tRNA from 1 species
CAGAGAAUAGUUUAAAGUAAAAACUUUAGUUUUGGGGACUAAGAAAGGAGUUGAACUUCUUCUCUGA